rnacentral:lncRNA from 1 species
UCAUGUUUCCAUCAUCUGGUCGUUCCCACUGCACAUGCACACGUACGUGUAGCUUUGAGAUAUCAUCAUCCCUCACCUUGUUGUUUGGCGCUUUGCUUCAGCUGCCUGCAUAUGUUGUGCGGUUACAAAGCGGCUCAGAUCUUCUUUUGACUUGCAGUUGCUUCAGGUUGGUUGCCUCCGGCGUCCCCUACACCACCCCCACCAACCCAAGCCCGAAGAUGGUCACUUCAAGGCUUUGUUUCAGGUUGAAGCAAAUCGGGCUGAGCGCCCCAACAAACGAGGUGUCGCGUUCGUCCAGCCAGUUUCGCAGGUAGCUUCGCCGGUGAAACAAAGCAGCGGACUGUAGCUUGGAAACUGACAGGGAAAGGUGGUAGAUGUGUGUCGCAGUUGCAGGUGACUUUGAGCACGUUAGUAGGUGGAAUCUGAUGCACUCACCAGUCACUGGCGUCAACAUUUGUGCAUAUUUUACUUGUGGGGUGGUGUGGAUGAUGCUGGGCUGCUAGCUCCUGCUAGACCACUACGUACGGCGUCGCCUACCCUAGGCGACAUGGGCGGCAGCCCCUAACCUCCGACUCCACAUGUAUCCUUCGGACGUUGUAUCCUUCAUGAAGGCACUGUCUUGUUGCUCGUGAUGUGUUCGGUGUUGGAUUUGAAGACUUCGGACGCUUUGCUGGUCCGGGUUGCUCCUCUUGGCAUGGGCAUCCGGGGCGCUAUGUACGGCCUCGACGACGCUCUCUCCGUGGCUUCUCCUCAUAGUUCGGCCAGAUCCUGCACCCCACUUGCCGAUCCUCUAGGCACUUAGGUGGGAGGUACGUUGAUUUGGUUCGUCCUGGAGGCGUGGCCGUGCGGUGAUGGUGCCCGGCGUUGGUCGCAACGCGGCCCAGAUACCUUUGUAUCUCGUCUCUUUGCCGCAGGCUGGAGUUCGAGCUAGGAGAGUCUAUGCUGUGUUGUAUCCCUUCUUGUGUCUUUCCCACACCUUGUGUGGUAUUUCUCUCUUUUCCUCUUGUAUGUCUAUGUAAUUUCUCUUCUACCUAUCAAUGAAUGAUACGCAAGCUUUGCGUAUUCACGAAAAAAAAA